rnacentral:rRNA from 1 species
GAACGCUGGCGGCGUGCCUAAUACAUGCAAGUAGAACGCUGAAGGAGGAGCUUGCUCUUCUUGGAUGAGUUGCGAACGGGUGAGUAACGCGUAGGUAACCUGCCUGGUAGCGGGGGAUAACUAUUGGAAACGAUAGCUAAUACCGCAUAAGAGUAGAUGUUGCAUGACAUUUACUUAAAAGGUGCAAUUGCAUCACUACCAGAUGGACCUGCGUUGUAUUAGCUAGUUGGUGAAGUAACGGCUCACCAAGGCAACGAUACAUAGCCGACCUGAGAGGGUGAUCGGCCACACUGGGACUGAGACACGGCCCAGACUCCUACGGGAGGCAGCAGUAGGGAAUCUUCGGCAAUGGACGGAAGUCUGACCGAGCAACGCCGCGUGAGUGAAGAAGGUUUUCGGAUCGUAAAGCUCUGUUGUAAGAGAAGAACGAGUGUGAGAGUGGAAAGUUCACACUGUGACGGUAUCUUACCAGAAAGGGACGGCUAACUACGUGCCAGCAGCCGCGGUAAUACGUAGGUCCCGAGCGUUGUCCGGAUUUAUUGGGCGUAAAGCGAGCGCAGGCGGUUAGAUAAGUCUGAAGUUAAAGGCUGUGGCUUAACCAUAGUACGCUUUGGAAACUGUUUAACUUGAGUGCAAGAGGGGAGAGUGGAAUUCCAUGUGUAGCGGUGAAAUGCGUAGAUAUAUGGAGGAACACCGGUGGCGAAAGCGGCUCUCUGGCUUGUAACUGACGCUGAGGCUCGAAAGCGUGGGGAGCGAACAGGAUUAGAUACCCUGGUAGUCCACGCCGUAAACGAUGAGUGCUAGGUGUUGGAUCCUUUCCGGGAUUCAGUGCCGCAGCUAACGCAUUAAGCACU